rnacentral:tRNA from 1 species
GGGCCGGUAGCUCAAAGGCUGAGCGGUCGGCUCAUAACCGACUGGGUGAAGGUUCGAGUCCUUCCCGGCCCA